GAUCCUGGCUCAGGAUAAACGCUGGCGGCGCACAUAAGACAUGCAAGUCGAACGGAAGUCGUUAUAAAAAGGAUUGAAGAUUUAUCUGAUUGAUAUUUUAUAACAAUGGCUUUAGUGGCGGACUGGUGAGUAACGCGUAAGAAAUCUGCCUGUUAGAGGGGAAUAACAAUGAGAAAUCAUUGCUAAUACCGCAUAUGCCAUAGUUAUCGCAUGAUAAUAGUGGGAAAGGAGCAA
rnacentral:rRNA from 1 species